GUGCUUUGCAGUCUGCUGCAAGAAAAUUGAAAACAGAAAACAAAAACAGAGGGAAGAAAGACAGACAUGGGGGGCAGCGAUGGGAUCUUGGGGCGCAAAGAAGGUGAAGGAAUGAUAUCAGAAGCACGCAGAAGAAAGAAAUGGCUUAAGAGGCGAGAGAGAUGGCUUGUAAUACUUGGUGUGAUCCUUCACGCUGUCUAUAUGCUAAGUAUCUUCGAUAUUUACUUCAAGACCCCAAUUGUCCAUGGCAUGGAUCCUGUCAAACCUCGCUUCAAGGCCCCAGCGAAACGUCUUGUGCUCCUUGUUGCGGAUGGUUUACGUGCUGAUAAGUUUUUUGAGCCGGAUUCAGAGGGAAAUUACAGAGCUCCAUUUUUGAGGAGUAUAAUUAAAAACAAAGGCAGAUGGGGAGUUUCUCAUGCUCGACCCCCUACAGAAUCAAGGCCUGGACACGUUGCUAUAAUCGCUGGUUUUUAUGAGGACCCUAGUGCAGUCACAAAAGGCUGGAAAGCUAAUCCAGUUGAGUUUGAUUCAGUUUUUAACCGAAGCAGGCAUACAUUUUCUUAUGGUAGCCCUGAUAUUGUCCCAAUAUUCUGUGGCGCCUUGGAACACAGUACAUGGGAGACCUACCCUCAUGAAUUUGAAGACUUUGCAACUGAUGCUUCCUUUUUGGAUGAGUGGUCUUUUGAUCAAUUUCAGAGCCUUCUGAAUAGGUCCAAUGAAGACCCAAAGUUGAAGGAGUUACUUCUACAGGAUAAUCUUGUUAUAUUUCUGCAUCUACUUGGCUGUGAUUCAAACGGUCAUGCUCAUCGGCCCUUUUCAUCCAUCUAUCUCAAUAAUGUUAAGGUUGUAGACAACAUAGCUCAACAUGUUUAUGCUCUUCUUGAAGAUUAUUAUAAGGACAAUAGUACAGCAUAUAUAUUUACAGCUGAUCAUGGAAUGAGUGAUAAAGGUAGUCAUGGAGAUGGGCAUCCUUCAAAUACUGAUACUCCCCUUGUUGUUUGGGGAGCAGGUGUCAAAUAUCCCAAGCCAAUUUCUAGAGAUGGCCAUUCUGAUCAUGAUUUUCAUUUUGUUGAUGAACAUACCCAUGACAUGCCAACGCCAGUAGAUUGGGGCCUGAAUGGGAUUGAAAGGGUGGAUGUGAAUCAAGCUGAUAUUGCACCCCUCAUGUCUACGCUUCUUGGUUUACCAUGCCCUGUUAACUCAGUUGGAAAUUUACCACUUGGAUAUGUUGAUAUGAUUGAGGCAGAGGAAGUUGAAGCUGUGCUAGCUAAUACAAAGCAAAUCCUCAACCAGUUUCUUCGCAAAUCACAAAUAAAGCAGUCAAACUCAUUAUAUUUCAAGCCAUUUAAACCACUGAGUCAACAUUUCUCUCUGUUGGAACACAUUGAAUAUCUAAUAUCUGUAAGAGACUAUCAAAUUGCAAUGAGUCUGACCCAAAAGCUCAGAAGCUUGGCACUGCAAGGACUUCAUUACUUUCAAACGUAUGAUUGGCUGAUGCUGAUGACUGUAAUUACUCUUGGAUAUCUUGGUUGGAUGGUCUAUCUCAUUUUGCAUGUGCUUCAAUCUUAUACUUCACUGGCAGAAAAGAUAUUGAAGAUGGAGCAAGCUACAGAGCAGAAAAAUAAAAUUGGAAAAGUAAUUUCUAAGUGUAUCUGUUUGGAUGCCUGUUGAUGGGAGCAAUUUCUGUUCUAUUAUAUGUGGAGCAUUCACCUCCUCUAUACCACGCAUACUUUGCAAUGACAGUGUUUCUUUGGACCCAGAUACUCAGUGAAUGUCGGUUUGUAAAAGCAUUGUGGAGACAUUUAAGUGGGAAAAAGUUCAAUUAUGCCAUUAAACUUUUAGCUACCUGUGCCAUAUCAAUAAUAUUCCUAGAAUUCCUGGUGAAUAGUUUCACAGAGAGGAAACUCUACACCUGGUGCUUCUUAAUUGUGGGAAUUAUAGCUUCUCUUUAUCUUUUCAAAUCAAUUCGGUGGAGAUCUGGGAUACCAAUUUUCAUUUGUUUUGCCUGUUGGUGUCUGUCUGUUUUUACUUUGAUGCCAGCAGAAAUACCAGAUAAUAAUGAACUAGUAAUUGCAGGUGGAGUUAUAAUUGUCACAGUUGGAGCAGCAGCAAGGUGGCUAGAUCAACAUUCUGAAGGGAAUAAACAUUGGUCAAGUAUCUGUUAUCAUGAAACAGAUAAAUCCAGGCAUUCCAUGCUAUUUUACGUACAGGUUCUUUUAGUUGGAUUAUCAUCAAUUAUGGUGUCAUUGUCAACGUCUCACAGAACAGAGAAGCAAGAACUGCAUUCAAUACACCAGUUAAUAAAUUGGACUCUCGCGGGUAAUGCUUUUGGACUUUUAUUUUUUCAAAUUCUAUUUGUGUAUUUUCUGUAAAACCCACAAAUGUUGUAUGUAAGCUUUGAUUUUACUUCUAUCAUAUUAAACUAAUGGUAUACUUCCUACAGCUCAUUUUAAUCAUAGAAGUAUGUGAUACCAUUGUUUAGGGUUUUCUGGUCUGUGGUCACCAAGAAUAGAUCAUGCACUAUUCUUUGGGAAUUCCAAGCCCCAACUUAUGAGUUUGAUUGAGGAGUUAUUUUUCUUUUAUUUCGCAAAUUUGGGUGUUGAACCCAUAAUUAUCACCGAAGAUUUUCUUAGAUGUGCCAUCUAGACUAUGCAUAUUUGGUUGAAGAGUUCUUUAGUUUUGUUUGCCUAGUUCCCUUUCUUUUGGCUUUUAUAAAUGCUUCACUGCCAUACUUUGAGCAUUUUUAAGUGGAACUUCAUUUGUUUAUUAAUACUUGCUCCUUGUGAUUGUAUUGUUAUAGGUUUCUCAAUGGUUCUCCCACUUUUCUCAGAAAAUGGUCUAUUGUCACGACUGACUUCCAUAUUUCUUGGUUUUGCACCCACAUUCCUGCUUCUAUCUAUUGGGUAUCUAUGAUUUAUGUGAUAUAAUGCUCUUUUAACACUUUCAUGGGCACACACAAUUGCUAGAUGUACUAAUUCCUUUUUUUCCUCCUCUUUUGUGAAACCCAUUAAGAUAUGAAGCUGUCUUUUAUGGUGCACUUGCUCUUGUACUUAUGGCAUGGAUACUAUUUGAGAACACAAUUCUUCACUUAACUAAGGGGAAAAAAUUUUCAAAGCUUGAGGAACACACUACGUUAGAAAAUGAAAGGUGCCUACAGCUUUCUGAUAUGAGAAUUCCAUUAGUUUUUGUAAGUCUUAUCCAUUUUCCUCUUUUACUUUUUCUUUUUCUUCACCAUUCAUUGGUUAUAAGAAGUUACUGCAUGAAAACACUAGCCUUUAAUGCUAUGUUAAAAUAUUCUAACUGUGCAAGAAAGUGAAUGAUUAUAUUUGGUAUCAUCUAUGGUGUCUCUUUGGUAUUAUCUUUGAUGUUUUAUUCUUUCAGAUGGUUUUGUUUAAUGUUGCUUUCUUUGGAACGGGGAAUUUUGCAAGUAUUGCAAGUUUUGAGAUUUCAUCUGUCUAUCGAUUCAUCACCGUCUUCAGUCCUUUUUUGAUGGCAGCUCUUCUUAUUUUCAAGUUAUUCAUACCGUUCAUGCUUGUUAUAUGUGUUUUUAGUGCAAUAACCAAACUACUGCAAGUUCCACUGUUGGGAUUUUAUUUUCUGGUUAUAUUAUUUUCAGAUGUGAUGACUGUCCACUUCUUCUUCCUGGUAUGACUGCUGUUCAUAUGAUGUUCUUUAUCUAAUUUAGUUCUAAUCUUGUGGAUUUUCAUUUUGAAACUUAGCAAGUUACUUAUUGGCAACUUAUUGGGAUAUCUUAUAUGUAUAUGUCUGUCUGGGUGGUUAUGUGGCCUUAUUGGGAUGGGAAACAAUUGAUAUUGAUACAGAUAUUUUCCUCUUUGACUUUUUAAUGUCUGGCAGCAUGUUUAUAGCUUUUGAUUCAAUCAACUAGACGUGCAUAGCUGAACUUGAUUUGAAAUUGCAUAUUAUUUGCAUAAUCAGAAAGCAAUAGUCAGCAUUUUAUUUUGGAUUACAUGUUGAUCACCAAGAUUUUCUCUGAGGUUUAGCCGAGAAACACUUCAUUAACUGCUAGAGUUUCUGUAAGAAACUCAAACUACACCAAGUAGUGGGAGUGAUUCUGCUGAAAGAGGCAAUGUGGAAAAACUACCGAUGUUCUAAGCUUUUUCUUGGAAACUUAAUUUUACUUCUGAUGACAAACAGGUAAGAAAUACAGGAAGCUGGAUGGAAAUUGGUAACAGCAUCAGCCAUUUUGGUAUAGUGAGUGCUCAAGUUGUGUUUGUGCUAUUACUUUUUGCCCUCACAAAUGUUUACACAAAAGACAUCCGAAUUAGAUCAGAUAGCUUAUCCUCUAGGAAGGCAGUGUAAGUUACUUUGAAAUUGGCAUUUGUAAGCAUCAAAAUUAGCAGCCGCAUUCCCUUUUGAAGUGAUCUCUUGCAUUGUCAUGGAAAAGAUCUAAAAUCUGCUCCAUAUUCUUUUUUGAUCAUAUGAGACUGAUUGAGGUGUAAUUUUCAAGAUUAUGGAAUUCAAUUUUGCUAGAUGUUAACAUGUUUCUUGUUAACACUUGCCUAAAUCUCUGUAGGCAAGUUUUCACAUGUACUGCUCACAAGGCAGAAGGCAUUUUGAAUUUUGUUGGGAUUAUAUAUCAUAUCAAGAAAAUAGA
rnacentral:misc_RNA from 1 species